CCACGUUGAGUCGUUCAUCCCUCACCUUCUUCAUCUCCUUCGUCUGAUGCUCGCUGUUCAAUACUCUCUCAUUGCUCACUGAUGCUCAUUCUUGUUAAUCCUGCUCAUCGAACGUCUCACUACAAGUUGUUCAUCAGAAGCUGACUGUGGUGUUCGUCCCAGGCUGAUGCUCACACUUGCGCGAACGACUAUGCAAACGAUUGUGCGAACUAUAGUGUGAACGAUUGACGCUCAUGCUCACGCUCCCAAGCUGACGCUCACACUCUAUAUCUCGACCCAGCUCGUGAGUGUUCGAACGCCAUUUUUUCGUGAGGAAAGCAGAUAUCGAACCCAAUUCGAGACUGUGCGAACGAGGUUUACAGAGUGGGUUUUUUUUCAGAAAGAAGAAAUUGGGGUUUUUUCCAAGGUUUAGGAGAAGUGGGGAAAUAUAAAAGGAACAAGCACUAUGGCAGAAACAUUUGACACAGACAGGUUGGUCGAAUGACAUUGGGUGGGCUGUUGGCUCUUGGGUAUACUGUUGUGGUUAGUUAUAAGCGUGCAUCGACAACUGUCAAUAAUGGCAAGGUUACCAUCUCUUAUGAGACCAUUGAUGUUCUUGGUGAGACAUUUAUGGUGAUGAGAGGAACUAAUAGAAAGCUAUAGUUUUUUCUAAUCCCAUUAGACAUGUUCUAUGUAAAAUGCAAUCGUUUUGAGGAAUCACCAGUCACCAUGUAUUUUAUGUAAAGCAUUUUAUUGUAGAUUUCAUUAUAAUUAUUGUUGUUUCCUUUUUUUACCAAGGGUCUAGUCAUAGUAGUAUAAAUAAGGGUUAAUUCUUAUAUCACAUUUAAAAUACCUUAUUUUCUCAUUUUUAAGGAUUUUUUAUCCUUGCACUGUGAACUCUUUUUUGUUUUUACAAUUUCUUAUAUGAAAGACUUUCCAUGGUUUCUUCCAUUUUGUUAAAUAGGAUUUUUUUUUUACUUUCUGCUCAGUUUGAUUAAGCCUUGUCUGGUUGAUAAUAUGGUGAGUUACUUAUCUGAAAUAUGGAAAAAAAAAUCUGACUGUUGGAACGGAAGCAUCAAGGAUGGGUAUUGAUGGACCUUGGCUUAUCAAAUCAUAUCUGGAAAUGAUUCUGGAGAGAAAAAGUAGGGAUUGGGAUGCUCUCCCUUUAAUAUAGUUUAUGCACAUUUAGUUAAUUCAGUUGUUUUCCUUACAAGUGAUGAUAACUGCUACAACAUGAAAAAUAUUGUGUUUUGAAGAGUGUGAGGAUAACAUAUGGCCAAUUACCUUCAUGACUACUUGAAUUGUUUAUUUCCAGUAGAUUAUCUUAAUUGUCUAGACUAGUGCAAAGACAAGAACAUUUGUACACAUAUUUAAUCUUUUUUUAAAACAGUUCAAUAUAAUUAAUUUGACAAGAGGCUAUGAAAGAAGCAAAUAUUGUGCAGUGAGUGGUUUAGAGAGUUGUCAAAGCAUGAAGGGGUCCAAUAAAAUGUGGAGAGCAGAAAGGGAUAUUUGCUUUGUUGUAGUUAUAGAUUUACAUUACAGGUGGUGGAGUGGCUAAGCAGUCAGCCACUUCUGCAGAAGGGGUUCCGUUUAGGUUCACAAAUGCCUUGGACAUUCACCCCAAAACCGAUGAAGUUUACUUCACAGAUAGCAGCAUCCUAUUCCAGAGAAAUUGUGCUUUUCAGGAGGUCCAAGUGGGUCUGGGAAGACUAGUUUGGCUCAUAAAAUGGCAAAUAUAAUUGGUUGUGAAGUAGUUUCCCUGGAAAGCUAUUAUAAACAAGUAAAGGAUUUUAAAUAUGAUGACUUCAACGCACUUGAUUUAUCUUUGGUAUCUAAGGUAAGAUAAUUGAGCAGUUUAGAUGCAGUUGAUUGGGUCACUCUGCAUGAUAUUGAUUGAUGUCACACGUUCACACACAUUACUUUUUAUGAAUAAAAAUGGUUUUAUUUCUUCUGAGGAAUCAAUCUUUUUUAGUAAUUAUUUUUACCAUGAUAUGUUAAUUUAGUGUCACUAUUUUUAGUUCCCAUUAACCCUACUUCAUGGUUUGAAGUAAUGAACAACUUAAUAUGAAGCAUUUGCUUUAGAAGAUGUAAACCUUUGCAUGGUUGGGAACAAACUCUGGUUAGACUUGAUCUACUUAUGAGCUUUGUGUGUAUAAUUUGACAGAGUCUACAUGUCCUAGCAAUUCACUACAAAAAAAAGUUAUUUAGAGGAGGUCAUUUUUCAGAGGUUCAAAUAAACCUCCACAAAUAAAUAUGAUAUAGGUUAAUUAUAAUGGUUUUUGUAAGUGCUAAUAAUAUAUAGGGAUUUUAUUUAUUUUGAAGAGGUUUAUGACCCUUGCAGAUUAAUCUACAUUUUCCCUUCAAUGUAUUCGCACGUUCCUUCCUAGAAAACCUAAGCCACCGCAGCCACAAAAAUAUUGCUCGUUCCUCCCGAAAACCUAAGUUUUUCCUCAAAUUAGUUCCACUUUGCGAUUCCCUCUAUCGUAGCUCUUUCCGUCACACCUCUCUGUCACUCUGUCGUAGGCGGCCCUAUCGCUCAACGGAGUUGUUCGCCCUGUUUCGUCACUCUAUCACUCCAUCGUAGUUGUUCGCAACUUAGGAGCCUGCACUUCCGAUUGAUUAAGUUCCUCUUUUUCUAUAUUUGACCUUUUAAGGAUGAAAAGUUGCUGAUAUUGCAUUCUUUUAUCUAAUUUCUACAUGGACAUUCCUUCCUUUAGGUUAGUGAACAAUAUCAUUCGUUGAUCUUGUUCAGUAUUUGCUUUUCUUUGUUUUAAUUUAAUUGUAUGUUCAUUGCAUUAGAGAAUGGUGAAUAAAUGCAAGUAUGAACCACACUUUGAUUACUUCCAUGACAAAACUAAUCAAGUUAUGGGUGGCCAUCCCUCGUGUGAUUUAAAUUAAGUUCACUAAAGUCUUAAUCAUGUCAUUGCAUUUUCAUUGAGAAGCAAAGUAAUUUUUAUAAAUGUUGGUUGAUGAAAUUCAUUCUAUGAACCUUGCAGAUUUCCAAUUUAAGUCUAGCAGCCUUUUAAACCAUUUAGGGGAAUCCCAUGAUGCAUGUCUCAAAAUGUUUCAACAGUAACAAUAUAAAAAGUAGGAGAUAUUAGAGUUUUAGUUCUCUUUUAAAUUUUUAUUUAAUAAGAUGCAUGUCCUCCUCUUUGCUCUCAUUAUUCUGUUGCAGGAAAUAAAUGGAAUAAAAAGAGGAAACUCAUUAUAGGUAAUAAAUUAGAUAUGGUCUCAUAUUUCAUGGCAUUUUGAAUGGCUCUAGCAAUUCUCAAGGAUCUCUGUCAAGCUCGGAAUAUUAAGUUGUGGGUGUAAAUGAAGAAUGUACAUCAAAUUCUCAAGAAUUUGUUACUGCUAACAGUGAUUAAAUCUAGAGGACAUAUAUUUUUUACUCAAAUCUCACUCGAUUUCCUAUACAUAUGAAGUUGAAACUGAAGUAGAAAGUGAUGAAGAUGAAGUCUCAUCUACUGAGUCAUUGUAAUACAACUUCAACACCAUACGUGUUGCUACAAAUGAAUCGUGUAUAUUCAGGGUCAGCUUUCCAAUGGGCAAGAGAUUGUUGUCAAAAGGUUGUCAAGGGAUUCUGGGCAAGGGGAUUUGGAAUUUAUGAUAUUCUCUGUAUUGUUUGUUGUUAGAUCUCUGUAUAUUAUGUUAUUCUCAUGCAAGUAUAGCAGUCCUUUGGCAACUCCAUCAGCUACUUUCACCUUGUCUGGCCAAUCAAGAUGUUUACGAGAAUGUUCUGCACAGUAACAAACCAAGGAAAUUCUUGGGAGAAGGUGUGGGGUCUUGCUCCGUUGAGGAAUUGCUACGCCUUGAACAACAAUUGGAGAGGAGUUUAAGUAAUGUUCGAGCAAGAAAGUGAUAGGUGGAUCAAAUGGGUAUUCAUUCUACCUCUGAUCUUCAACCAAGGACAACUUUGUGUGGAGAUUACUUUUAUAAUUAUUUUCACUUGUGGUCUGGACAUCUUAUUUGAUGGAAAGACCCCCAAAAUCAAGAAGUUUGUUUUGCAUGAAAAAAAGGGAGGGGAACCAAGCUUGACCUCAAUGCAAAAACAAAUACAAGCGCCUAAAGGGUAAGUCUUCAACCAAUUUUUACUUUAUUUGAAACUGUUAACAGAAUGGAGGAAUAAAGGCAACCAUUGUGGAGGAAGUUGCCAAUUAGUCCAAUCAAGAUCAGUCCUGGAAUGAUUCAAGUUUCAAAGUCUUAUGUUGGAGUUGCUUUAAAGGUUUUAGAUUUUGUAAUAUAUUACAAAGAGCUUACAGAAAUGGAAGAGCGAGAGCAAGAGAGGUAGAAAUAGCUAGACAGGCGUAAGGCUGAUCAUAAGUAUGGAUUUUCAUAAAAAGGAAUCUUCCCAAAGGAAAGUUGAGUGGAGGAAUAAAUCAUGAAGGAAUAAACUAUUACAACAACCUUAUCAACGAGCUGCUGGCUAAUGGUAUAAAACCAUUUGUGACUCUUUUUCAUUGGGAUCUUCCCCAAGUAUUAGAAGAUGAGUAUGGUGGCUUUCUAAGUCCACUGAUAGUAAAGGACUUUCGAGAUUAUGCAGAACUUUGCUUUAAGGAAUUUGGUGAUAGGGUGAAGUAUUGGGUUACAUUGAAUGAACCCUGGAGUUAUAGUCAGAAUGGGUAUGCAAGUGGAGUAAUGCACAGGUCGUGUUCUGCAUGGAUGAAUUCAAAUUGCACAGGUGGUGAUUCUUCAACUGAGCCAUAUAUGGUCACACAUCACCAACUUCUUGCUCAUGCAGCAGUUGUGCGUCUCUACAAGGCAAGUAUCAGGUUAGUCAUUCUUAAUUUUUAGCUAUAUAUGUUUUAUUGAAAGAUGGUCUGGGAAAACAGGCAUGUCUGACACUUACUUCUUGGAAUGCUUUAAGGAAAUAUUUAUCUUUUAUAAUUUCAGCAAUCGAUGAUGCAAAUAAGCCUGAGUCUUCUAUAG